ACUGGACACCUGCAUCUGCGGGCAAGACUGAAAGCAGGUGAGACAGAGAGGAAGGGCCAAAGCCGUGUGGGGGAGGGGUGGUCUGAGGCACCCGCGUCCCCUCGGAUGGGGCUGGUUUGCAGGUCAGCGCAUGGACAUUUUCCCAGAAAGCGACACAGACUAUGAAGUUUGAUGGUCUGGAAAACGGAGACCAACCGCGCUGACUACCUGGAAGCACUGAGACUCCGGACAGCGCCUCUCAGGGUCCAGGAAAGGCACCGCGAUCUGCUUCAGAACCAGGGCUCCGGACAGCUCCUAAGGCUCCCAGGGGGCGACCUCAUUUCAGAACCAGGACACUGGACAGCUUCACUGCUACAGGGAAGCCCUUGUACCCAGAUGGGGGAAACAGAGUGCUCUGAAGUGCCUGACGCUUUGGGAGACUUGCCCCUCGUGUAGUGGAUUUUUCAGUGAAUUAUUUUCCAGAUAAGCAGAUGAGAAGAAACCACCCACAGAAAUCCGUAAUUCCUAACAGGUUUGGAAAUACAAAUAUCUGACUCUGAACCCAGGACUCUUAACUGUCUCACUACACUUUCCUGGGAGAUCAAUGAGAAAAUCAUGUUUGAAGCCCUUCCUUGAUCAGGAUUCUAUGGAGACUUUUCAAUAAAAGUUCUGGGGAAUUUUUUACUCCCCUACCUCACCAUCAGUUUCAUGAA
rnacentral:lncRNA from 1 species